GGGGAGUUGCCCGAGCGGCCAAAGGGGACAGACUGUAAAUCUGUUGGCUUAACGCCUUCAUUGGUUCAAAUCCAAUACUCCCCA
rnacentral:tRNA from 1 species